UCGACUUCGGUCGGGGGCUUUUUUUUGUAAUCAGAGAAGGUGGGAUUCCUAGUGGCUGAGAUCACACCGUUCAAACUUGAUCUGGAUAAUUCCAGCGAAAGGACAUGCUAUUUCCCUACC
rnacentral:ncRNA from 1 species